rnacentral:rRNA from 1 species
AGCGGCGGAUGGGUGAGUAACACGUGGGGAACCUGCCCCUAAGUCUGGGAUACCAUUUGGAAACAGGUGCUAAUACCGGAUAAUAAAGCAGAUCGCAUGAUCAGCUUUUGAAAGGCGGCGUAAGCUGUCGCUAAGGGAUGGCCCCGCGGUGCAUUAGCUAGUUGGUAAGGUAACGGCUUACCAAGGCGACGAUGCAUAGCCGAGUUGAGAGACUGAUCGGCCACAUUGGGACUGAGACACGGCCCGAACUCCUACGGGAGGCAGCAGUAGGGAAUCUUCCACAAUGGACGCAAGUCUGAUGGAGCAACGCCGUGUGAGUGAAGAAGGUUUUCGGAUCGUAAAGCUCUGUUGUUGGUGAAGAAGGAUAGAGGUAGUAACUGGCCUUUAUUUGACGGUAAUCAACCAGAAAGUCACGGCUAACUACGUGCCAGCAGCCGCGGUAAUACGUAGGUGGCAAGCGUUGUCCGGAUUUAUUGGGCGUAAAGCGAGCGCAGGCGGAAAAAUAAGUCUAAUGUGAAAGCCCUCGGCUUAACCGAGGAACUGCAUCGGAAACUGUUUUUCUUGAGUGCAGAAGAGGAGAGUGGAACUCCAUGUGUAGCGGUGGAAUGCGUAGAUAUAUGGAAGAACACCAGUGGCGAAAGCGGCUCUCUGGUCUGCAACUGACGCUGAGGCUCGAAAGCAUGGGUAGCGAACAGGAUUAGAUACCCU